CCUACGGCGGGCAGCAGUGGGGAAUAUUGGACAAUGGGGGCAACCCUGAUCCAGCCAUGCCGCGUGUGUGAAGAAGGCCCUCGGGUUGUAAAGCAUUUUCAGUGAGGAAGAACGCCUGGUGGUUAAUACCCAUCAGGAAAGACAUCACUCACAGAAGAAGCACCGGCUAACUCCGUGCCAGCAGCCGCGGUAAUACGGAGGGUGCGAGCGUUAAUCGGAAUUACUGGGCGUAAAGCGCGCGUAGGUGGCUUGAUAAGCCGGUUGUGAAAGCCCCGGGCUCAACCUGGGAACGGCAUCCGGAACUGUCAAGCUAGAGUGCAGGAGAGGAAGGUAGAAUUCCCGGUGUAGCGGUGAAAUGCGUAGAGAUCGGGAGGAAUACCAGUGGCGAAGGCGGCCUUCUGGACUGACACUGACACUGAGGUGCGAAAGCGUGGGUAGCAAACAGGAUUAGAUACCCCGGUAGUC
rnacentral:rRNA from 1 species